GCCCUACGGGGCGCAGCAGUCGCGAAAACUUUGCAAUACACGAAAGUGUGACAGGGUCAUCCCGAGUGCCGACCGCUGAGGUUGGCUUUUACCCAGUCUAGAAAGCUGGGGGAAUAAGGAGAGGGCAAGUCUGGUGUCAGCCGCCGCGGUAAUACCAGCUCUCCGAGUGGUGUGGACGUUUAUUGGGCCUAAAGCAUCCGUAGCUGGCUGGACAAGUCCCCUGUUUAACCCACCGAUUUAAUCGUUGGUCUGC
rnacentral:rRNA from 1 species